rnacentral:lncRNA from 10 species
CUGAAGAGUUAGGUAUUGUAGUCUUCACAGUCUGAGUUUGUUUGUACCUGUCCUUCUUGGAAAGGCUCUCCAGGUAUUUGAAGGUACUUGGGUGUUGUGAUCUACGUUUUUGGUCACUGCAGUCAUAUCUGCAUUAAGGGGCACCCCAAGCCCAGUAAUGCUGUGGGUCUUUUAGACUCAUAGGAGUACUGCCUUAGUGGUCUUGGAUAAGAUCCAGAGGAAUUCUCUGGAUGCCCAGGCAAAGACUCUCAUUCUCUUCCCUUACUUUGUCUCAAAUAGAUGGGGUCUCUCUUUCUGUGCUGAGCUGCCUGGAGCUAGGGGAAUGGUGACACAAGCACCCCUGUGGCCACCACUGCUGGAACUGCAUUGGUUUGGACCUGAAACCAGCAUAGCACUGGGUCUCACACAAGGCCCACUGUAACCACUACCUCACUCCUGCCUAUGUUUGCUCAAGGCCCUAGGGCUCUACAGUCAGCUUCAGAUCAGAUUUAUUUGGAGAAGACAAAAAACCCACAACCCAAAGGAUGGGAUUUUACAUCUCAAGACAUCUCCUAGGACACCAUUGAAGGCACUGGUUAUUUUACCAAGGCUUUGACUGGAAUGGCAUGGUUUCAGUUAUAAACAGACUGCUUUAAGGAAUCAAAGUUGACUUACAGAGCUGAUAAA